CAUCACUAUUUGUAAGGAGGAGCAGCGCGAGUGCGGUGCGAGUCCUUCAAAUUAGAAUAGUGAUGAUGAUCUUGUCAAUGCUGAGAUUUUCAUGCAUCAACAGCCACUACAUCUGGAUCAGAUUGAACAAGAAACAGACAGCAAGAGUUGUCAGGUCAGAAACAGAAUGACACACAAACACAAGAAACUUCACAGGCAUAUCAACAUGCAAUUUGAAGACGUGUGAUAAAAUACAGAGAGGUGAAGUAGUGUGUCUUUCCAGAUCCCCAAAUCAUUCCCCCUUAAAAGAUGAGCCUGAAGAGGAGAUUUGGGAAGAUGCUGUUUCAUAAGUCGCUUUGCCUGAUCACAUGUGGACGAUUUAAGAUGUAGAAACAUUUCAGCAACCUCAAGAGAAAUUGGAGGCAACUGUGGUAAAUUGCAGAUGAUGUUGCAAAGGGUCUGAAUAUGUAUAAUGUAAAUAUGAUAUGUUUUCUUUUUUCAUACAUUUGCAAAAGUUUCUAAAAUUCUGUUUUUACUUUGUAAAAAUAUCUAAACAAUUACAGUAUCAUGCAACAACAUAAAAUUGAAAGUGAAAGGUGUAUGAUUUCUGAAUGGACUGUAGAUGAUCUUAAUUGUCAUCUUCGUAAACACAACAGCUUUGUUCCUUCAUCAGAUGGCUAUGCAAUGUUUCAAGUCAGACUAUCAAAGAAAACGCAUCUUGCCCUGAUGUGCAAUAACAAGAUUUUUUUGUACAUGGGCUAAAAUGCAGCAUUUUUUGAAAAUUAAAUAUCUUGUGUUUUUUCCCUCCUUAGAUGCUGUCAUCGUAUUAAGUACAGCAUGAGCCAGAAUGGAUGGGUGGUGGUGGCCAUAAGAAGACUGUCAACUUAACCAACAACAAAAUUCAUAUUUGCAGUUUUUCUUGAAUAAAGUUUUUCUAUUCAGAUGAAUAAAAUGACUUUUAAACAUGAUUUUGUUUCAUAUUUUAUGAUUUUAUUCUAUAUUUAGAAAAUUCCACUUCUGUACUACUAACUGGAAACCUAACUGUUUGAAAGAAUGUGUUUUAUCCAUUAAAAAAUAUUUUUAACAGCUGCUUUCAUGUUUAUUUGGAAAGAGUAGGCACCUGCCAUCUUAUUUGUCCACAUUUAAACUUUACCUUCCUUAAGUGUUUAGUUUUAUGAAUGGGGUUGUACUGUAAGUUAUGCGUAGCAAGUUGCAUUCAUAUGAUAAUUGCACUAAAAAUGACACGUAUACAGUAAAUCAUUUAGUGAGUAUUGCAGUGUCAAGUAAAAAUCUAUAUUUAGUGUUAAAAACAACAAGGAAAUAGAAGGUUGAA